rnacentral:rRNA from 1 species
UUGCCAGCCCGCUCAGAAACUCAAAGGAAUUGACGGGGCCCGCACAAGCGGAGGAACAUGUGGUUUAAUUCGAUGAUACGCGAGGAACCUUACCCGGGCUUGAAAUGCAUCUGACCGGCCUUGAAAGAGGUUUUCCCUUCGGGGCAGAUGUGUAGGUGCUGCAUGGUUGUCGUCAGCUCGUGCCGUGAGGUGUCGGCUUAAGUGCCAUAACGAGCGCAACCCUCAUCAUUAGUUACCAUCAGGUAAGGCUGGGGACUCUAAUGAGACUGCCAUCGUAAGAUGUGAGGAAGGUGGGGAUGACGUCAAAUCAGCACGGCCCUUACGUCCGGGGCGACACACGUGUUACAAUGGGUGGUACAAAGGGCAGCUACCCGGCGACAGGAUGCUAAUCUCCAAAACCACUCUCAGUUCGGAUCGGAGUCUGCAACUCGACUCCGUGAAGCUGGAUUCGCUAGUAAUCGCGCAUCAGCCACGGCGCGGUGAAUACGUUCCCGGGCCUU